rnacentral:lncRNA from 1 species
GAGUGUUGAGUAUCAUUGUUUGUGAGUAAAGCUUGUUGCAAUCGAGUCUAGUUUCCUACAAUGCAUGCAUACAUUUAGUCCAAAGGUUCAUAACAGAACGAACUUGCUGCAUACAUAGCACUAAAGGACUAUAUAUAUAAGCAUCUAUAUAGUAGAGUCAAAGGUUGAUGAAUUUGUCUCAACUUUUUCUUAGCGCUUAGGAUAUGACUAGAUUGUCCUUUCCAUUACAAAACAGUUCAGACAGUUGGGGUGGCCUGGAACUUGCGAAUUCUCCUAGCAUUAAUGGGAAAAGAAGAAGUUCUCAGAGGGCAACUUUCUCAAUUGGAAUGUAUCUCUGGUCUAGAUCAAUUGCUAGUCAGUGAUCGCCAAGGAUAUUCAUCAAUAUCAGUAAUCUGCAGAAAAACAGUUCAGGCUUUUAUUGAUAAUAUAUCGAUCUUACAUUGUGAAUCGAAAAACUAGAUUAAUAGCUAGUCAGUGAAUCGCCAAGGAUAUUCAUCAAUAUCAGUAAUGCAGAAACGAACAAUAUGCAGGCCCAGAUGUCCUCAUGAUCCUACUGAAUGGUCUGAGACGUCCAAACAGAAGAAGCAGGUAUGCAGCUAACUUGGAUGGCGAUGUUUAUCUCAAUAUACAUUUCUCUGGCUUAAAAUUAAUCAAUUAUUUACCAAAAUUUUUAUUCCUAUUGCUCCCCAUUGAGCCACGUACUUGUCCCACAAAAAUAUAUAAAGUACGGUUUGCAUUUUGUCCCAACAAGUAGCCCAACAUUUAUUCCCGUUAUGCAAAAAUUAUGAGAAUAAAUUCAACGAUGAGCAGUUUAUGAAAAAGAAAGAACAGUUACAUUUCAAAUGUGAGAAUCUUAAUUAGAACCAUUCAUAAAGUAGAAUAAGCUGAUGAAUUCGUUGACUGAGAUUCUUAAAUCAAUGAAAGAUGUUAUGAUAAUCUAAGUAACUUAAUUAACAUGAAACUCAUGAAUUAAAGUUCCAGGAGCAUUAUUAUUUUUUACUGCAGUGAUUGUGAAGAAAUUUCCCUAUAAUUUAAAACUAAAUUAGAUAAACUCCAAAUCCAUGUUUUUAGUCCAGAGAUUUCUCAUAAUGGAAUGAUAUUAACUUAACUGAACCCUAUAAAUGCUUGCAACUGUUGAGAUCAGAAAUUUACAACAAAAAUAUAUGGAUCCCAAAAAUAUAAAAGCUUCUCUACACCUAGCUAGUAUUGGAUACAAAGUCCAGAAUCCGACAUCAUUCCAUUAACUUUAGUUCACGAGCUUGAAUUGCUUGCACAGUUGCAUACAAACUAUGGAUAGAGAGAGUGGGUGAGAAAUCAAUCGAGUAACAAUCUAUUGCAAGAUUGAUGUGUGUUUUACUUUUCAUAUUAGUUGAAUUAAUUCUAUCUUAACCACAUCUAUCUUAACAAUCUAUUACUCAUAUUAUUCAUGAACCCUUUGAAUUGAGUUGCUUGUACUGCAUAUGUGAAAUUCAUGAUCAAGUCCCAACCUAUUAGUUUCUCUUUUGUUUUUUGUUUAACAAAAGAACAAAAGUGAACAUAAGAGGCUAUAUAUGGCCUCGAGCCCUCGAGAAUGUGUGUCGAUAGACAAUAAUCCACAAUGGUGCAUACCUGCAACCUGCUGGCAGCAUCAUAAUCACUGCAACAAACAAACAAACACUUCAGACUUGUCCAUGCUUCUGUUCAUAAAAUUGACUCCAAGCAAAGCUGGUUAAGUUUUGUAGAGCUUUAUUAAUAUAGUUGGUUAAGCAUUGAUUAAAUAUCCACUUCACAGUACUCCGGAGUAUUUGGUUAGAAAUAACUAUGAUUUGUUUUCAUGUGAAGUUGUGAACUGUGCGAGUCAUCAUUGUUAUGCUUGCAUGCAUAUUACUAGCAAUUAUAUAUCUGCUGCGGCUUUUUAAUUAGUUAGUUCACUUGAAGUGGAGAUUAGUUCUAGUUUUAAUGGAAGAGAUUAAUAAUGGGUCCAUACUCGUGAAACAAUACAGAAUUGCUGAUAUUGUUGUUACUUUUCUCAUUCAUCAUAUGCUUUUUAUAUACAAGGAUAAUAUCAAUCUAGAUGCUAAAAAUCAGCUGUUACAUAAUUAUAAAUUGAUGCCGUAAAUUGUGAGAAAUUUUUCAGAGCUCCCGAAGGACCACGCGGCAGUCUGACGUGGUUCUCCAUUUCAUUCAAAUUUUGACAUAUAGAUUUUUAUCAUGAAAAACUAUUUUAGCGAAUUUGUCAAAUACCAUUUUGGGUUUCUUAUUGAUUUUUUAAAUUCUAUACCCUAAACCCCUAUUAACCAUGUACCCUAACCCCUAAAUCUUAUACCCUAAACCCUAAGCCAAACUCAUAAAAGACCUAAGACGGGCAUUUUACAAAAUAUAGAAAAUCUUAGUUUAUAUUUUAGUUGUAAUAAAUUCACGUGUUAAAAUUUAAUUGGGAAGAGAGGACCACGUCAGACUGUCACGUGGUCCUUCGGGAGCAUUGAAAAAUUUCUCGUAAAUUGCAGGAUUGCAAAUGAUCAUGCUAAUAUGGAGAAAUUUUUCAGUGUUCCCGAAUGACCAUGUGACAGUCUGACGUGGUCGUUUUGUAACAUCUCAAAAAUUUGGAUUUCUAUUUUAAAAAGGAAAAAUUAUUUUUCGGGUUAUUUUUAUUUUGAUUUCUAUUAUUCUUUCAAUUCUUUGUGGCUUUCGAAAAUUAUUUCAAUUUUUGGUUUGUCAAAAUUUAUGUUUCGAGCAUGUAGGAUUAACCAACCUAGAUGUCGUUACGAGUUCAUAGGAUUUUACGGAAGUGUUUUCGGACAUCGGAGCUAUUUUUAAUGAUUUUUAGAAGUUGGUAUUAUCCAAAAAUUAAUUAAAAAUAUAUAUUUUUAAGUCUGUUUGAUCUAGCGCGUCAGAUCUUUUAAACCGCUAGAUCUGGACCAUUAAUGGAGUUUAUAUAUAUAGGAUUCAGAUCAGUCUCAGACCCAGACCCAGUCAGCCUCGACCCUUAUAGCAGUGGUGGUCGACCCGGUUGCAUGUUGGUCCUCUGGCGACGGCGAGGAGAAAGAAUGGGAGCAUCAGCUUCAUCUCAACCUCGUGAUCCUCCUUGUGGUCUCGAUUUUGUCAAAGGAACUUUGAUGAGGGAGAUUUGAAAGGGAGAAAGAGAAGCUGGGUUCAUCGGUGAUUUUCCGAUUCUGGCCAUGACAGCAAGCACGAGUGGCAGUGGUAGCUUCGCCUGGACCUGUUGAAAAUUUCUGUGGCCUUAGUUUUCAAAGAGAAGCUCGGAGGAGGGAGAAUCAAAGAGAAGAAGUUAUGGGAUUUUCCGGUGAGGGUUUGGUGUUUGCCGGCGACCUUUGUUUUCGAUUUAGGUAUUAAGGUCGGUUCAUUUAUGAGCUUUACAUGCUUCUAUGAUUGAAUUUGAGUUUGGGUGUGUUUUGGAGAAGUUAGGUUUUGGCAGAGGAGGACCGCCAUGUUUGUUGUUGUGCACAACGGCAGUGGAGGUGUUUCUAUUGUUUUUUGGUUUCAAAUUUGUAUGCUAGAGUUGGAUUGAUGAUUAGUAUUGUCUGGAAUUGUUGAAAUUGUAAAAUUGGAGUUAGAGAGCUGAGUUGCAGGUUGUUCGGGUUUACUGUGUUUGGUGUUGAUAACAGUUGUGAUGGUUAUAGUUGUGAGUUUUGAAGAUAAAGUGGGAAUACUGAUUGUGAAGGAGCGAAUUCUGACGUUUGAUUCAAGAAACAUGGGAAGUAGUAGUGUGUUAUAUUCAUUUUUGGUGUUCAUACUUGUGAGCUGGUUCGAUAAAUGGUAUAUAUUGUGAAAUUGGUUAUGAUCUUAUGUGUUAAGUCGGUUGAUGAGGAUUGUAGGGUUAGAGUUAAUACAUUUAUCGGUAUGGCUAUUUGUUUGAUUCCAGAAUUGGAGAAGUUGAGUGAAAGAGGAGAUCAUGUGGGAAUAAUGUUUUAUGCUGUGUUUAGAAAUUUGAAUAAAUGUGCAUGUUGGCUCGAAAUGGGAUAAAAGGUGUAAUUGGAUAGAUGAUGUGGGUGUCCAAAGUAGAAUAUGAGUUUGAUCAUGUUGAUUUGAUGUGAUUCAUCAACAAUAUGGGAAUAAGGAUUCAAUACAAGGAUCAAAGGCGUAUUACAAUUGCAUGAGCACACUACUGGAAAAAACUACUUAGGAGACGGAAUUAAAACAAUUUCGUCUCCUAAGUGUGACUUAGGAGACGGAACCCGUAGCCUAAGUGGUCACUUAGGUGACGGAAAAGUCUUUCGUCUCCUAAGUUAGGAGACGGAACCAUUUACUUAGGAGACGAAAUUAUUUUUUUAAAAAUAAAAAUAAAAAAGUAACCACUUAGGCGACAGAACUGCUUUUCGUAGCCUAAGUUCCUCAUAGGAGACGGAAUAUUCUACUUAGGAGACGGAUUUUUUUUUUUUAAAAAAUUGAAAAAAAUGAAAAACUUAGGCGAUGGAAUUCAUUCCGUCGCUUAAGUGGAACUUAGAAGACGGAAUGUUUUACUUAGGAGACGGAAUUUUUUUAAUAAAUUUUUUUAAAUCACUUAGGCUACGAAUUGAGACAAUUCCGUCUCCUAAGUAAGAAAAACUUUGGCGGUCAAACCUUCCGCCAAAAUUUGAGAAGAUUUCAAAUGAAAUUUUUUGAAAAAAUUAGGUCCCAAUUUAUUUAAACUCACAAACUCUAUAUUUCUUUUACUCCUCCUUCGAUUCAAACACUCUUAAUCUUUUAUCUUCCCCUUUUCUCUCUCUCCCACUCAAUUUUUCAGAUCUAAACUACCACAGCCGACUUCUCCAAGGCCGGCGUCGACUUCUUCAAGGCUGACCUCCCUAGCCCAGACCAGCGUCGACUUCGCUCUCUCCUCCGCUGCCUCUCCUCCACCACCACAGCCUAGACCGGCGUCAACUUCUCCAAGGCCGACCUCCCUAGCCCAGACCGGCGUCGACUUCGCUCUCUCCUCUGCUGCCUUUCCUCCACCACCACUCAACGUCGCUCACCAUCCUUUCCUACCAACAACCUAAUCUCCUCCAAACCCCUCUAUCCUCCACCCUCGACCAUCGGCCCUCCUCCUUGUCGAAUUCUGUGCUCAAGGUUGAAAGGAGUUUCUACACUUGACUCAAGACUGUGCUCAAGGCUGGUUUUUGAAUUUUUUUUAGAUCUAGAAUGGAGGUGAGCUUGGGUGAUGAUGAUAUGUAUAAAUAGUGAUUGAAAUUGGGUGAUUGAAAUUCGUAUUUCGGGAUUAGAUUUGAUGGAGGUCUGGGUUUUGCUUAGGAAAACCGGAGGCGGCAUCGAUGUUUGUCGGAGGUGGCGGUGGUGUUAGCAAGGGUGGUGAGAUUUGGGGUGGUGGUAGAAUGGGUGGUGGGUUUCAGACAGAAAAAAAAAUAGAAACGAAAAGAAAUAGAAAGAAAAAGUAAAGAAACUGAAAAUAAAAAUAAAAAUAAUAGAAAUGAAAUUUAAUUAAUUAAAAUAAUUUUUUAAAAUAUUUUAAGUUCCGUCACUUAAGCACUUAGGAGACGGAAUCUAUUCCGUCGCCUAAGCACUUAGGAAACAGAACCCAUUCCGUCGCCUAAGUAAUUUUUAGUCGACGAAAAUCAAUUUUCCGUCGUCCCGUCACCUACCUCACCGCUCCUAGGCGACGGAUCUUAGCCGACGGCUAUUCCGUCGCCUAAGUUCUUAGGAGACGAAUUUUGUUACUUAAGAGACGAAACCAUUACGUCUCCUAAGUGGUUUUUUCCAGUAGCGGCAUAAGGAUAAAUAUUUUAGAAAGCGUGUCGCGGUGUUACUAAUUUUGUUUGACGUCAGAACUAACACUUGGAUUCUAGGUAGAGUCUUUCUCGGGGAACCUUUAUUUAAAUUGAUAAUUAGAUUAUAAUUGAAAUCGUUGAUUUGUGUGACAUUGAUUGAUUAACUCUUGGUUGUUAUUGUUUUCGAUAAAGUAUGUGUAAUAUGUGAUUAUGAUCGAUGUUAUCGCUUUUCAUUAAAGCAUGUAUUUGAUAUUGAAAUGAUAGUAUUGAUAUUCAGUUGACAUGCAUAAUGCAUUGUGAGGAAUUGUGAGAAAUAGUGAGAAAUAGUGAGAAUAGUGAUUCUGGAGAGGAGAAUGAGAUUGAUAGAAUAGAUAUAUUUUGUGUAGUUGAGUUUUCUCAUGGGGAUUUCCAGUAGCUAUGGUCAGCCCACCUGCACUGCACAAAUGAGUGGGGAAUGUAUGUAGGUCGAUAAAACGAUCUUUCAGGUUUCGAGACUAGGAACCAUGAGAUUAACAAAAGACUAACAAAAGAGGUAUUGGAGUUUAUAUAUUACUAAUUUAUUAGGUCGUAUAUUCGAGACAUCUACACGGUAUAGGACGUGUAGGUACAUAUGUCUUGGGUGUAUGAACUAAUUAGUCAGUAAUAGAGUGGAGGGAUGCUAAUGCAUCGAUUUGUGGUUAUUUAUGUAAAAUAUUGUUUGAUAUGUGAUAAUUUGAUUGUGUGACAUAGUUAAGUAUAACUAAAGAGGUUUGGCUCUACUGAACUUAAGCUCACCCCUAUUAGUCUUGUUCAGGUUCGUACAAGGACAAGUGUUUCUAGGAGACUAACUGUGUUGUUUGGCUGACGUGUAGGAGAGUCAAGAAGGAUUACCGAAGUUUCUAGUGAGCUAGACAACAAGACCUAUUUUGUUUCUGUAAUUAUUUUUGUUAUUACAAUUUAUUUUGUUUUUAACAAUUUCUGGAAAAGUAUUUGAAUUUAUAUUAUUUUCUUUUACUUUUUCCACUCACACCUCGAAUUCGGGGUUAGGUGCUUGGAAACCACCGACACCGGGUCCAGGGUGUGACAUCUCUAUUCCAUUCAAAUUUUGACAUGUGAAUUUUGAUGAUGAAAAACUAUUUUAGCUAUUUUAUCAAAGACCAUUUUGGGUUUCUUGUUGAUUUUUUAAACCCUGAACCCUAAACUUAUACCCUAUCCAUAUACCCUAUACCUUAUCCCCUAAACUCUAUCUUCUAAAUUUUAUACCCUAAACCCUAUACCCUACACCCUAAACUAUAGUCCAAACUCACAAAAGACCCAAUGACAGUCGUUUCACAAAAUAUAGAAAGCCUUAAUUUAUAUUUUAGCUGUAACAAAUCCACGUAUCAAAAUUUAAUUAGCAGGGAGGAACACGUCAGACUGUCACGUGGUGAACACGUCAGACUGUUACGUGGUCAUUCAAGACUAUUUACAAAUUUCUAGCUAAUAUGCUACUGAUAUGCUAUGAUCUUGUUGAUUUGUUGUUAACCUGAGAUUGAGUACUAGGCUAAUGCUGGUGAGGAAUUAACUGUGGAAUGCACCCUAAACCCUAUACCCUAAACCAUAGUCCAAACUCACAAAAGACCCAUGACGGCCAUUUCACAAAAUAUAGAAAAUCUUAAUUUAUUAUUUUAGUUGUAACAAAUCCACGUGUCAAAAUUUAAUUGACAAGGAGGAACACGUCAGACUGCCACGUGGUUCUUCAGUACCAUUUAAAAAUUUCUCGCAAAUAUGCUAUGAUCUUCUUAUUUGUUGUUAAAUAGAGAUUGAGUACUAGGCUUCAAUGCUGGUGAGGAAUUAACUGUUGAAUGUACCCUAAACCAUAGUCUAAACUCACAAAAGACCUAUGACGGCCAUUUCACAAAAUAUAGAAAACUUUAAUUUAUAUUUUAGCUAUAACAA